rnacentral:rRNA from 1 species
AACGCGAAGAACCUUACCUAAGCUUGACAUCCUUUUGACCAUGCCAAUCGCAUCUUUCCCUUCGGGGACAGAAGUGACAGGUGGUGCAUGGUUGUCGUCAGCUCGUGUCGUGAGAUGUUGGGUUAAGUCCCGCAACGAGCGCAACCCUUGCCUUUAGUUGCCAGCAUUAAGUUGGGCACUCUAGAGGGACUGCCAGGGAUAACCUGGAGGAAGGUGGGGAUGACGUCAAAUCAUCAUGCCCCUUAUGCUUAGGGCUACACACGUGCUACAAUGGGUGGUACAGAGGGCAGCCAAGUCGUGAGGCGGAGCUAAUCCCUUAAAGCCAUUCUCAGUUCGGAUUGUAGGCUGAAACUCGCCUACAUGAAGCUGGAGUUACUAGUAAUCGCAGAUCAGAAUGCUGCGGUGAAUGCGUUCCCGGGUCUUGUACACACCG